AUGAAUCUUGUUUAUGUAGUACUAUCCAAUUGUAGAGAGAAGUGUUUACCUGCUUGUUUAUUAAUUUACAGUUGUGUUCCCCAGCUGCAAUCAGAGCAGUUUCUCUUUCAGAAGUUUAUUAAAAGCAAGCAUCAAAGAGAAGGUCUUCCACCAAGGGCUGGGAAAUGCAUAAAGCUCUUCCCUGUAGGAGGAGUGGUAUCUCCCAUAUGCAUCUGUAGAAAAUUGUUGGAAAGUGUUCUACAAAGACCAAGAGAAAUGUCAAAGGCAAGUGCAGAGAGUGAACAUGACUAUGUGGGAAGAAGAGUGAAGAUUCAUGCCCAGAAAACAUUAUUCUUACCUCACACCAGUUUUACUUCGUGUUACUUCGUUGAACAUGCUAGGAUGAGAUCAGCUAGCUGUACAGUGAGAUGUGACGAUCAGGAUAUUUACAGCAUGGGAUGUGACCUUCGGCUGCCCUGGAACAGGGCCAUCGAGGGAAAUCCAAAUCCGGGACAACUGCAAGAAAUCACAUAAAGCUGGGACUAAAAACACAUGAAGAGGGAAAGGUGUUAUUUCAGAGGGAAUAAUCAAUUAAAAAUGGACCUAGAAUAUAUAUUGUUUUAUUCUGUAUAUAUAAUCUGGAAUAGUAUUUUCAAAGAAGAUAUAUCACUUAAAAAACAUGCUACACUGCCAUUCCCCCCAGCCAAAUCCUGCCCUCAUGUGUGUCCAGGGUAUUAUGCCAACUGACAACACUGCACGUGUACUCGUGAUUUCGUCAUAGAGUGUUCUGUUUCCAAAGCAAGAAAAAGACUAGAGGACCUUGUUGGAAGUGGAAGUUGGGCAAGAAAAAUAUACUCUACUGACCAAAAAAUAAAACCACGUGUAAACACUGGAAGUGUUGUAUU
rnacentral:lncRNA from 1 species